GGACUCCCGUCCCCCCAUGUCCUCCACCGUCAUCACCUCCCCCUCCGACAGGCUCACGUUCAGCACCUGCAAACGCACACACCACACAGGCUGAAACAGCAGCUGCAGCUGAAUGUACUGAAGGCCACUCCAGAGAAUGUGCUGUAGUUUUACUGGUUGAAUAAUGUAGCAUUGGCAUAAGCCACAUUUAGGGGAGGGGAACAUCUGCAGUUUCCUCCGAACUCUAUGUAUUAUCUAGAGUAUAGCAGUGGGAAUCAGAUAUGAAAGACAACCAGGGAUCUGAUAAUCAUCUUGAACAAAUGCACCAGACUACAGUGCAUCUACUGUCCCAGUGAUAUCUUGUAGCCUGUCCCCUGAUCCAGACUUCAGGCCUGGCGUGUGGUGUGGGAGCSUGCUGUGGCCUCCGGAUAGGCUGCUCUCCCAGGGGGAAUGAGAGUGUCACUGAGGCAGACUGAGGGAGCUCAGAGUGCGAUGCGGAGGAUCACCAGGCGAGUCACUGGCACCAGAAUGAAUUUGGUCUCACUGACAACCUGUCACUCGGUUGAGGGGAUGCCAACGAUGGGUGUGAGGGGGUUUACUCCCGCUAUCACAGACAGAGCUGAAAUGCGACUGUCUGUUACUCUGUCUCCCUCAGACAUCAGCCAAGACUGAGGUCAAACUCCUUUUGUUCUUACCCAGAAUGCUACACAAAAAUAAAGCUUUCCCAGGUCAUCAAA